rnacentral:rRNA from 2 species
UUCCGGUUGAUCCCGCCGGACCUGACUGCUAUCGGAUUGAUACUAAGCCAUGCGAGUCAUUGUAGCAAUACAAGGCAUACGGCUCAGUAACGCGUAGUCAACCUACCCUAUGGACGGAAAUAACCUCGGGAAACUGAGAAUAAUAUCCGAUAGAACAUUAUGCCUGGAAUGGUUUAYGUUCCAAAUGAUUUAUCGCCGUAGGAUGGGACUGCGGCCUAUCAGUUUGUUGGUGAGGUAAUGGCCCACCAAGACUAUUACAGGUACGGGCUCUGAGAGGAGUAGCCCGGAGAUGGGUACUGAGACACGGACCCAGGCCCUAUGGGGCGCAGCAGGCGAGAAAACUUUGCAAUGUGCGAAAGCACGACAAGGUUAAUCCGAGUGAUUUCUGCUAAAGAAAUCUUUUGUUAGUCCUAGAAACACUAACGAAUAAGGGGUGGGCAAGUUCUGGUGUCAGCCGCCGCGGUAAAACCAGCACCUCAAGUGGUCAGGAUGAUUAUUGGGCCUAAAGCAUCCGUAGCCGGCUCUGUAAGUCCUCGGUUAAAUCUGUACGCUUAACGUACAGGCUGCCGGGAAUACUGCAUAGCUAGGGAGUGGGAGAGGUAGACGGUACUCGGUAGGAAGGGGUAAAAUCCUUUGAUCUAUUGAUGACCACCUGUGGCGAAGGCGGUCUACCAGAACACGUCCGACGGUGAGGGAUGAAAGCUGGGGGAGCAAACCGGAUUAGAUACCCGGGUAGUCCCAGCUGUAAACUAUGCAAACUCAGUGAUGCAUUGGCUUGUGGCCAAUGCRGUGCUGCAGGGAAGCCGUUAAGUUUGCCGCCUGGGAAGUACGUACGCAAGUAUGAAACUUAAAGGAAUUGGCGGGGGAGCACCACAAGGGGUGAAGCCUGCGGUUCAAUUGGAGUCAACGCCGG